rnacentral:rRNA from 1 species
CUACGGGCCGCAGCAGUUAGGAAUAUUCUGCAAUGUACGAAAGUAUGACAGAUUGAGCCAGAGUGCUUUUCAUUUAGAAAAGCUUUUGCCAAAUGUAAAAAGUUUGGCGAAUAAGGACUGGGUAAGACGAGUGCCAGCCGCCGCGGCAAUACUCGCGGUCCAAGUCGCAGCCAUUUUUAUUGGGUCUAAAACAUCCGUAGCUUGUAUGUUAAGUUUCCUGUGAAAUUUUGUAUCUUAAGUGCAAAGCGGGCAGGAAGUACUGACAUACUAGAGACUGGAAGACGUAAGAAGUACGAAUAAAGUAGUAGUAAAAUGCUCUGAUCUUAUUCGGACUAACAACAGCGAAGGCAUCUUACGAGGACAGUUCUGACAGUAAGGGAUGAAGGCUAGGGGCGCAAAACGGAUUAGAUACCCCCGUAGUC